rnacentral:rRNA from 1 species
UACGUAGGUGGCAAGCGUUGUCCGGAUUUACUGGGCGUAAAGGGCUUGUAGGCGGUUUUGUAAGUCCUGUGUGAAAUCCCCCGGCUCAACUGGGGAAUUGCACGGGAAACUGCGAGGCUUGAGUUCGGGAGAGGGAAGCGGAAUUCCGGGUGUAGCGGUGGAAAUGCGUAGAUAUCCGGAGGAACACCGGUGGCGAAGGCGGCUUCCUGGAC